rnacentral:tRNA from 1 species
GGGCUGUAGCUCAGCGGUAGCGCGCCUCGUUUACCAUGACCAAAAGUAUCUACGGUUCGAAUCCGUAUAGUCCUA